CCUGACUGCUAUCGGAUUGAUACUAAGCCAUGCGAGUCAUUGUAGCAGUACAAGGCAGACGGCUCAGUAACGCGUAGUCAAUCUACCCUAUGGACGGGAAUAACCUCGGGAAACUGAGAAUAAUGCCCGAUAGAACAUUAUGCCUGGAAUGGUUUAUGUUUCAAAUGAUUUAUCGCCAUAGGAUGGGACUGCGGCCUAUCAGUUUGUUGGUGAGGUAAUGGCCCACCAAGACUAUUACAGGUACGGGCUCUGAGAGGAGUAGCCCGGAGAUGGGUACUGAGACACGGACCCAGGCCCUAUGGGGCGCAGCAGGCGAGAAAACUUUGCAAUGUGCGAAAGCACGACAAGGUUAAUCCGAGUGGUUUCUGCUAAAGAAACCUUUUGUCAGUCCUAGAAACACUAACGAAUAAGGGGUGGGCAAGUUCUGGUGUCAGCCGCCGCGGUAAAACCAGCACCUCAAGUGGUCAGGAUGAUUAUUGGGCCUAAAGCAUCCGUAGCUCGUUUUGUAAGUUUUCGGUUAAAUCCAUGCGCUUAACGUAUGGGCUGCCGGGAAUACUGCAUAACUAGGAAGUGGGAGAGGUAGACGGUACUCGGGAGGAAGGGGUAAAAUCCUUUGAUCUCUUGAUGACCACCUGUGGCGAAGGCGGUCUACCAGAACACGUUCGACGGUGAGGGAUGAAAGCUGGGGGAGCAAACCGGAUUAGAUACCCGGGUAGUCCCAGCUGUAAACUAUGCAAACUCAGUGAUGCAUUGGCUUAUGGCCAAUGCAGUGCUGCAGGGAAGCCGUUAAGUUUGCCGCCUGGGAAGUACGUACGCAAGUAUGAAACUUAAAGGAAUUGGCGGGGGAGCACCACAAGGGGUGAAGCCUGCGGUUCAAUUGGAUCAACGCC
rnacentral:rRNA from 1 species